AGAGUUUGAUCAUGGCUCAGGACGAACGCUGGCGGCGUGCCUAACACAUGCAAGUCACGGGGGGUAGCAAUACCAACCGGCGAACGGGUGCGGAACACGUGAGCAAUCUGCCGAUUACUGGGGGAUAGCCGGGCCAACGCCCGGGUAAUACCGCAUACGCUCAUUGGGGGACAUCCCCCGAUGAGGAAACCUCCGGGGGUAAUCGAGGAGCUCGCGUCUUAUCAGCUAGUUGGCGGGGUAACGGCCCACCAAGGCUACGACGGGUAGCUGGUCUGAGAGGAUGGCCAGCCACAUUGGGACUGCGACACGGCCCAGACUCCUACGGGAGGCAGCAGUGGGGAAUAUUGCGCAAUGGACGAAAGUCUGACGCAGCGACGCCGCGUGUGGGAUGAAGCUCUUCGGGGUGUAAACCACUGUUGCCCGGGACGAAUAUCCUUCUUUAGAAGGAUGACGGUACCGGGUAGAAGA
rnacentral:rRNA from 1 species